rnacentral:rRNA from 1 species
GACGAACGCUGGCGGCGUGCUUAACACAUGCAAGUCGAACGGAAAGGCCCUGCUUUUGUGGGGUGCUUGAGUGGCGAACGGGUGAGUAACACGUGAGUAACCUGCCCUUGACUUUGGGAUAACUUCAGGAAACUGGGGCUAAUACCGGAUAGGAGCUCCUGCUGCAUGGUGGGGGUUGGAAAGUUUCGGCGGUUGGGGAUGGACUCGCGGCUUAUCAGCUUGUUGGUGGGGUAGUGGCUUACCAAGGCUUUGACGGGUAGCCGGCCUGAGAGGGUGACCGGCCACAUUGGGACUGAGAUACGGCCCAGACUCCUACGGGAGGCAGCAGUGGGGAAUAUUGCACAAUGGGCGGAAGCCUGAUGCAGCAACGCCGCGUGCGGGAUGACGGCCUUCGGGUUGUAAACCGCUUUCGCCUGUGACGAAGCGUGAGUGACGGUAAUGGGUAAAGAAGCACCGGCUAACUACGUGCCAGCAGCCGCGGUGAUACGUAGGGUGCGAGCGUUGUCCGGAUUUAUUGGGCGUAAAGGGCUCGUAGGUGGUUGAUCGCGUCGGAAGUGUAAUCUUGGGGCUUAACCCUGAGCGUGCUUUCGAUACGGGUUGACUUGAGGAAGGUAGGGGAGAAUGGAAUUCCUGGUGGAGCGGUGGAAUGCGCAGAUAUCAGGAGGAACACCAGUGGCGAAGGCGGUUCUCUGGGCCUUUCCUGACGCUGAGGAGCGAAAGCGUGGGGAGCGAACAGGCUUAGAUACCCUGGUAGUCCACGCUGUAAACGGUGGGUACUAGGUGUGGGGUCCAUUCCACGGGUUCCGUGCCGUAGCUAACGCUUUAAGUACCCCGCCUGGGGAGUACGGCCGCAAGGCUAAAACUCAAAGGAAUUGACGGGGCCCCGCACAAGCGGCGGAGCAUGCGGAUUAAUUCGAUGCAACGCGUAGAACCUUACCUGGGUUUGACAUGGAUCGGGAGUGCUCAGAGAUGGGUGUGCCUCUUUUGGGGUCGGUUCACAGGUGGUGCAUGGCUGUCGUCAGCUUGUGUCGUGAGAUGUUGGGUUAAGUCCCGCAACGAGCGCAACCCUUGUUCACUGUUGCCAGCACGUUAUGGUGGGGACUCAGUGGAGACCGCCGGGGUCAACUCGGAGGAAGGUGGGGAUGACGUCAAGUCAUCAUGCCCCUUAUGUCCAGGGCUUCACGCAUGCUACAAUGGCUGGUACAGAGAGUGGCGAGCCUGUGAGGGUGAGCGAAUCUCGGAAAGCCGGUCUCAGUUCGGAUUAGGGUCUGCAACUCGACCUCAUGAAGUCGGAGUCGCUAGUAAUCGCAGAUCAGCAACGCUGCGGUGAAUACGUUCCCGGGGCU